UUUGUGUCUGCAGGCAAAGGGAA
rnacentral:piRNA from 1 species